rnacentral:ncRNA from 2 species
AUUUAAUAAUAAAAUAUAGGUUUAAUCAAUUAAUUGAUUAAUUAAAAGGGAAUCAGGUGAAAUUCCUGGACUAUCCCGUAGCUGUAUUAGAUGAAUUUAAAUACAUUAGAAACCACUUGGAAACAGGGAAGGGGUAUUUAAGUGAUGAUUCUUGAGUCAGAAGACCUGCCUAUAUUUUUGACUAUGG